rnacentral:rRNA from 1 species
GAACCAGCAACUUGCAGGAAUGAGAGUUAAUAUAAUAAGUUAUUAACUUGCUUGACUAGGUCUUAUAAAGUUCUGGAUAAAGCUUAUUAUGAAAACUUUAUAUCCAUAGGUCUCGACCAAAUCUUGUGCCAGCAGUCGCGGUAAGACAAGGGAGACGAGUGUUAUUCAUCUUUAACAGGUAUAUAGGGUACCUAGACGGUGUGCAAUGGCUUAAAUAAGUACCUGGUACACUUGAGUUUGAUAUGUGAGAGGAAUAUGUCGGAAUUGUUGGAGUAGAGAUGAAAUGUACUAAUACCAAUAGGACUGAUAACGGCGAAGGCAAACCUCUAUGUACAUGUACUUGCUAUUUCUAUUUGUUUAUUUUUUUUUCAUUAGAAAAAAAAAACUAAAAAUCUCUUAUAAAAUAUAUAAGAUAGAUAAAGAGGAAAAGAGCAAUGUACUAUAACUGACGUUGAGGGACGAAGGCUCAGAGAGUGAAGAGGAUUAGAUACCCCCGUAACCUGGGCAGACAAUGAUG